GACGAACGCUGGCGGCGUGCUUAACACAUGCAAGUCGAACGGAAAGGCCCUGCUUGCAGGGUGCUCGAGUGGCGAACGGGUGAGUAACACGUGGGUGAUCUGCCCCUUACUUUGGGAUAAGCCUGGGAAACUGGGUCUAAUACUGGAUAGGACCAUGCUGUAGGUGGUGUGGUGGAAAGAUUAGUUUCGUUAAGGGUUGAGCUCGCGGCCUAUCAGCUUGUUGGUGGGGUAUUGGCCUACCAAGGCGUCGACGGGUAGCCGGCCUGAGAGGGUGGACGGCCACAUUGGGACUGAGAUACGGCCCAGACUCCUACGGGAGGCAGCAGUGGGGAAUAUUGCACAAUGGGCGCAAGCCUGAUGCAGCGACGCCGCGUGGGGGAUGACGGCCUUCGGGUUGUAAACUCCUUUCAGCCAUGACGAAGCCCUUGUGGUGACGGUAGUGGUAGAAGAAGCACCGGCUAACUACGUG
rnacentral:rRNA from 1 species